AUUAAUGCUGGCGGUGGGACUCGCCUCCAACCGCGGCCCGGGUGCCGCCGAUGGUUCCUGCGGACCA
rfam:Mycobacterium xenopi 3993 GMX3993.contig.9, whole genome shotgun sequence.